rnacentral:rRNA from 1 species
CAGGCCUAACACAUGCAAGUCGAACGGUAACAGGAAGCAGCUUGCUGCUUCGCUGACGAGUGGCGGACGGGUGAGUAAUGUCUGGGAAACUGCCUGAUGGAGGGGGAUAACUACUGGAAACGGUAGCUAAUACCGCAUAACGUCGCAAGACCAAAGAGGGGGACCUUCGGGCCUCUUGCCAUCGGAUGUGCCCAGAUGGGAUUAGCUAGUAGGUGGGGUAACGGCUCACCUAGGCGACGAUCCCUAGCUGGUCUGAGAGGAUGACCAGCCACACUGGAACUGAGACACGGUCCAUACUCCUACGGGAGGCAGCAGUGGGGAAUAUUGCACAAUGGGCGCAAGCCUGAUGCAGCCAUGCCGCGUGUAUGAAAGAAGGCCUUCGGGUUGUAAAGUACUUUCA